GAAACACGGACCAAGGAGUCUAGCAUGUGCGCGAGUCAUUGGGACUCUAACUAAACCUAAAGGCGCAAUGAAAGUGAAGGUCCGCCUCGCGCGGACCGAGGGAGGAUGGGCCGGCCCUCGGGCCGACCCCGCACUCCCGGGGCGUCUCGUUCUCAUCGCGAGAAGAGGCGCACCCAGAGCGUACACGCUGGGACCCGAAAGAUGGUGAACUAUGCCUGGUCAGGACGAAGUCAGGGGAAACCCUGAUGGAGGUCCGUAGCGAUUCUGACGUGCAAAUCGAUCGUCGGAACUGGGUAUAGGGGCGAAAGACUAAUCGAACCAUCUAGUAGCUGG
rnacentral:rRNA from 1 species